AUUUGAAAGUUUGGAGAUCAAUUCUAGGUUAUCAGACUUGCAAAAGAAGGUAACUGAAGUAAGGGGUGAGAUGACUUCUGUGGCUGACGUGUGCGAUGUGGCGGAAGUUAAAGUUGAGAUUGCUGAAUUAAGGAACGAUGUGGCUCAGGUGGAGGAAUUGCAAAAUGAGGUUUAUCACCUGAGGAGCAAGAUGGCUGAAAUGAGAAGAGAGAUGGCCGAGACUGCUCAGGUAGGUGAAUUGCAAAAUGAGAUAUAUCAACUGAAGAGCAAGAUGGCUGAAAUGAGAAGAGAGAUGGCUGAGACUAGAAGGAUGUUUGCUGAGAUGAGGAGGUUUCGGGAUGAAAUGCACGUUCGCAAAAAGAGGCGCUAAUAUGGGUAUUAGAGCUCUCUGGCUUGUUGGGAGUCUAUUGACAGAAGAACUGCAGCGUCGCUGUGAGUGAAACAACAAGGCCAGCCAACGUGAACAUAUUAUGAAGAAAGUUAGGCUUUUGGUCGUAGUUAUUGAAACUCUAGAAAAAUAUAGGAACUUAUUGUUUAGCUUCAGUUUUAUUUUGAUGUAGGCAAUUAAUUAUUGGUUCUCAUUUUGGUGUUGAAGUAGAAAUUGUACUUCUCGGAUAUGGCUUGCUAUACUUUCUUUUCUUUUGUGUGUCUUUUAUGGGUCUUUUCUCUCUCUCUCUCUCUCUCGGGCAUAGUUUCUUUAUUUUGACAGCUCUAAUCGUACAUGUAAGAAUAAUAAUCCUUUUAAUGUUUGAAUAUGGGUUCAUGGUGUCUUUUGUUUCA